rnacentral:rRNA from 1 species
AGAUUGAACGCUGGCGGCAGGCCUAACACAUGCAAGUCGAGCGGUAGAGUGGUGCUUGCAUCUCUUGAGAGCGGCGGACGGGUGAGUAAUGCCUAGGAAUCUGCCUAGUGGUGGGGGAUAACGUUCGGAAACGGACGCUAAUACCGCAUACGUCCUACGGGAGAAAGCGGGGGACCUUCGGGCCUCGCGCCAUUAGAUGAGCCUAGUCGGAUUAGCUAGUUGGUGAGGUAAUGGCUCACCAAGGCGACGAUCCGUAACUGGUCUGAGAGGAUGAUCAGUCACACUGGAACUGAGACACGGUCAGACUCCGUACGGGAGGCAG